UACGGAGGACGCGAGCGUUAUCCGGAUUUAUUGGGUUUAAAGGGUGCGUAGGCGGUCUGUUAAGUCAGCGGUAAAAUUGCGGGGCUCAACCCCGUCGAGCCGUUGAAACUGGCAGACUUGAGUUGGCGAGAAGUACGCGGAAUGCGCGGUGUAGCGGUGAAAUGCAUAGAUAUCGCGCAGAACUCCGAUUGCGAAGGCAGCGUACCGGCGCCACACUGACGCUGAGGCACGAAAGCGUGGGGAUCGAACAGG
rnacentral:rRNA from 1 species